UACGUAGGGUGCGAGCGUUGUCCGGAAUUAUUGGGCGUAAAGGGCUCGUAGGCGGUCUGUCACGUCAGGAGUGAAAACUCGGGGCUCAACCCCGAGCCUGCUUCUGAUACGGGCAGACUGGAGGUAUGCAGGGGAGAACGGAAUUCCUGGUGUAGCGGUGAAAUGCGCAGAUAUCAGGAGGAACACCGGUGGCGAAGGCGGAUCUCUGGGCCGAUACUGACGCUGAGGAGCGAAAGCGUGGGGAGCGAACAGG
rnacentral:rRNA from 1 species